GGCGGCGUGCCUAAUACAUGCAAGUCGAGCGAACAGAUAAGGAGCUUGCUCCUUUGACGUUAGCGGCGGACGGGUGAGUAACACGUGGGUAACCUACCUAUAAGACUGGGAUAACUUCGGGAAACCGGAGCUAAUACCGGAUAACAUUUGGAACCGCAUGGUUCUAAAGUGAAAGAUGGUUUUGCUAUCACUUAUAGAUGGACCCGCGCCGUAUUAGCUAGUUGGUAAGGUAACGGCUUACCAAGGCAACGAUACGUAGCCGACCUGAGAGGGUGAUCGGCCACACUGGAACUGAGACACGGUCCAGACUCCUACGGGAGGCAGCAGUAGGGAAUCUUCCGCAAUGGGCGAAAGCCUGACGGAGCAACGCCGCGUGAGUGAUGAAGGGUUUCGGCUCGUAAAACUCUGUUAUUAGGGAAGAACAAACGUGUAAGUAACUGUGCACGUCUUGACGGUACCUAAUCAGAAAGCCACGGCUAACUACGUGCCAGCAGCCGCGGUAAUACGUAGGUGGCAAGCGUUAUCCGGAAUUAUUGGGCGUAAAGCGCGCGUAGGCGGUUUCUUAAGUCUGAUGUGAAAGCCCACGGCUCAACCGUGGAGGGUCAUUGGAAACUGGGAAACUUGAGUGCAGAAGAGGAAAGUGGAAUUCCAUGUGUAGCGGUGAAAUGCGCAGAGAUAUGGAGGAACACCAGUGGCGAAGGCGACUUUCUGGUCUGUAACUGACGCUGAUGUGCGAAAGCGUGGGGAUCAAACAGGAUUAGAUACCCUGGUAGUCCACGCCGUAAACGAUGAGUGCUAAGUGUUAGGGGGUUUCCGCCCCUUAGUGCUGCAGCUAACGCAUUAAGCACUCCGCCUGGGGAGUACGACCGCAAGGUUGAAACUCAAAGGAAUUGACGGGGACCCGCACAAGCGGUGGAGCAUGUGGUUUAAUUCGAAGCAACGCGAAGAACCUUACCAAAUCUUGACAUCCUUUGAAAACUCUAGAGAUAGAGCCUUCCCCUUCGGGGGACAAAGUGACAGGUGGUGCAUGGUUGUCGUCAGCUCGUGUCGUGAGAUGUUGGGUUAAGUCCCGCAACGAGCGCAACCCUUAAGCUUAGUUGCCAUCAUUAAGUUGGGCACUCUAGGUUGACUGCCGGUGACAAACCGGAGGAAGGUGGGGAUGACGUCAAAUCAUCAUGCCCCUUAUGAUUUGGGCUACACACGUGCUACAAUGGACAAUACAAAGGGCAGCUAAACCGCGAGGUCAUGCAAAUCCCAUAAAGUUGUUCUCAGUUCGGAUUGUAGUCUGCAACUCGACUACAUGAAGCUGGAAUCGCUAGUAAUCGUAGAUCAGCAUGCUACGGUGAAUACGUUCCCGGGUCUUGUACACACCGCCCGUCACACCACGAGAGUUUGUAACACCCGAAGCCGGUGGAGUAACCAUUUAUGGAGCUAGCCGUCGAAGGUGG
rnacentral:rRNA from 1 species